ACAUAAAAGCCUAAAAGACAGCCGUGGUAACGCUCUUCAUUUCUUGGUUCUCCUGUGGUACAUAAGAAACCCGCUACAUAAGCACGAUUGAAUAUAACACCAUAAAAGAAAUGGAACGCGCAUGGACCUACAGAUUACGCACACAGGACACCGGGCGGGACACCAGAUCAGCCUCAAUUCGUCGGGGCAUGGACUCUACAAAGGGUCAAAAGCAUUCCACUGGGAUGCUGGUCCAUAUACUGUACAUGAUUCAUCAAGCCCUUCUCUGCCAAGGCAGAGUUAAAGGAAGAUAUGUAGCCUGGCAAAAGCAACUGACAUGGGCUGCACGUCAUCCAGGCUACCCAUCAGAGGACCCAGAGGACUUGCAGGUGACCAAGUGUUUCCAGGCCUUCUGGACUCCCCAGAAGAAGUCCCGGAUGCCUUUCCUCAUCUUGGAUAAUUUAACUGGCAAGAAGAUGAAAAUAUGUAAGAAUUUCAGAUAGACAAUUGUCUGAAAAAACAAUAAUGUAUUACUUCUUUAUACUUCUUUAUAAUUGUCAAAUAAGAACAUUUCCCACCAGGAAUACUCACUCAUAGGUGGAGAAUCCACAAGCAAUGUACAUCUCUGGCUGGUUUGUAGUGUCUGUAAGGACAAUGCUAUGUUGGACUGAUCAGAAUUCAAGGAUGCACAAUUCAACUUCAAUUUCACUUCCUUUACAUAUUCCUAUAAUUAUACAACUAUACUUACUGGUGCCAAUAUCAAAAAGCACAACCAAUGACCAUUCAAGAGUAAUCUGAGCUUGUCUUACCUUUCUGUUGGUGGCAUAAUUGCACCCCCUCAGAUUCCAAAUCCUCCACAUCAUCACUGCAUGAGUCUUCAAGGUCUUGUAGCUUGUGAGAAACAAUGACAGAGACAAUGGAAAGCAUCUCCUGAUCCUCAAAUAAAUCGUCAAUUUUCAAGGAGCGUUUUAAACGCUUGACCUUCCCAAGGUCAGUGGAGAUGGCAUCUGCCAGCUUCGAUGUCAUCUUAGAAUUGAAACUUUUUUGCUGCCUUUCCAUUUCCUCAAUCAGAUAUUUGGCCACCUCCUCAUCGAACAAUCGGAUCAGCUCAGUCACCAGAUCACUGAUCUGGAUGCGCUGACGCUUGUUGGUCCUUUUUGGCAUACGGCAUAUCUUCUUUACAAGCUUCAUUAGGACUUCUUCUAAUAUAAGCUCCCUAAUGAAGCUGGUGGAACCGGAUGUCACUUGUGUCGUGGAAAUUUCCUCUAUUUACCAAAUCAUGAGAGCAAACCACAACACAAGUCAGAGUUAGUUAUCAAAGUCCAUCUUUAAUUAUAUGAGCUCUAUCACAACCCUGUGACUCUCAGAUCAAUUCAGUGUCUAUCAAUGAAUUCUCUGAGAGCCCCACUACCUUGCAACUGAGAUCCUUUAAUAGCAAAUAACACACAUAGUCAGACAGCAUAGACAUAAAUCGUUCAGCUUUGUCUCCUUACUCAAACCCAGAACCAUAAACCAACCCUCCAUAUCAACAGGCAUAUAUCAAAUUGUCAUUUAGAUACAACCAAUUCUAAAUACAACCAAACCUGGACAAGCUCACGGAGAGCAUAGAAUUAUUCCAGACACUGCCAUCAUCCUCUCCCCGAUGGGAAAAGUAGGGAGUGACUGGCACACAGACACAGUGGAGCAAAAGAUAUGUUUACACAUGAUGACACAUUGACCUCUCCCCUCUCUGCGGCCCAUGCAACUUAGUCUUGACAUAGAACAGAUACUGCAACCCUGCCACAGUAUUAUACAAAAAUAACAUUCUUGAUGAGAAAUAACUUUCAAACAUAUGAUGAAUAUAAAACAUCUUACCUAUGUUACCAACCAAUUCUGAUUAUUCCCCAACACUUGUUCCACAGUGGAUCACUCCGGCUGUUCAAUCUCAGUCUUCAUGCUGCUCUGCUCAGCUUUCUUAUUCAAAGAUUCACGGGUUGUCAUUUCAUUAAACAAGGCUGUCAAUUCUUUCAA